CAUUUUGUUAUAAUGAGAAUUGAUUCUUAACAUGGGCGAUGGAUUCGUAAUUUAAUUUAAAUUGAUUACUUGUACACUCACAAUAUUAUAAUAAUAUGGCUGAUGAUGAGGACCACAAGGGUGAACAUGGAGAAGAAGAAGAAGAAGAGGCCAACGAAGAAGCUAUAAUAGAGGAAGUGGAAGAGGAAGCAGUAGAAGAAGAAUCAAUAUUAACUGAAUAUGACCCUGAUGACUUUAUAUCCGGUGCUGUUACUAGCCUUGAUGCUACUUUACCGGACGACUUAUUUGAAUUUGAACAUUCCUAUGGUUAUAACUGCCAUAAAUACUUCAACUUGUGCGCAUGCGAUGAUUCUGUUGUAUGCUGGUCUGCGGGCAGUAUUAUAACGUUUAUGGAUGUUAACACCAAACAGACAUGGUUUCGACGGAGCACAACUGGGGGAUCCAUUGGAAAUAUUGUGUCAUACAGAAAAGACCCGAAUUAUCGAAUAGCAAUCGCUGAAGGAAAGGAGGGACACAGAGAUCCUCUUAUUUUGAUGUACACGUGGCCACAAAUGGAAAUUGAUGCCGUUCUACGGGACGGAACAAGCAAUGCAUAUUCCAUUCUUGACUUUAGUCCUGAUGGAGAACUUUUGGCAUCGGUGGGAAAAGAACCAGAUUAUAACUUGACUAUAUGGAAUUGGAAACGCCAUAGAAUUCUUCUACGCACUAGUGCUUUUACAUUUGACGUCAACACUGUUAUGUUCUCGCCUUAUUGUCCUGGACAACUGACAACCGCUGGAGCUGCGCAUGUUAAGUUUUGGAAAAUGGCUAGUACCUUCACAGGUCUUAAGUUAAAAGGAGAACUUGGACGAUUCGGGAAAACGGAAAUUUGCGAUGUGCUCGGCGUAUAUCCUAUGCCUGAUGAAAAGGUUUUGUCGGGCUGCGAAUGGGGUAACGUUUUAGUAUGGGAGGCUGGACUUGUCAAAUUGGAAGUUACGCAACGAGGACGUAAAACAUGUCACAAGGCACCUGUGAUUCAAUUCAUGCUAAGUCCCGCGGGUGAUGAAGUGACAACUGUAGCGCGCGAUGGCUGCGUUCGUGCCUGGUACUGGGAUACCGUGGAACAAGCUGAUCCUCCAGAGGACGACCCUUUUGUUGAACUCAAUCCCGUCGCUGAAACUUGUGUCCCAGGCUGUCAAAUAAUGUGCCUAAAACAUCAGAAGGACAUGUUUUGGUACGCACAAGAUGGAAAUGGUGGACUCUGGAGCUUAGAGUUAGAAAUAGAUAAAAUCGAAUGUAACCAUCGUAAAGUUAUGACUUGUCACGCGGGUCCUGUCGUCGCUAUGGCCAUUCUCAGGACACACCCCAUAUUAGUAACUGCAGGGCAGGAUGGCGCCCUCCAAGCAUAUAACACAGAUACACAUGCACUACUAGCGAGGUAUCAGUUUCAGGCUAGUGUAACAUGUCUGCUGUAUCCACCAAUCGACGUGGAUGAAACCUCUUGCAUUAUAAUCGUAGGCUUUGGUGAUGGUAUUAUGCGAGUCUUGUAUAUUCAUCCAGAUCUCCUUUUGGCCCAGACCACGUUGGUUGAAGUGAGGGUUCACUCGGCCCUAACCAUUCACAGCGAGGACUCCAUUCAUGCCGAUGUUCUUGACUUAAUAUGUUUACUAAAGCCCCACUCAAAGUCACUCACGCAGAUAACAAUUAAUGAGCAGCGAUCAUUGUUAGUAACGUGUGGGGCAGACAGCACUAUAUUUAUGUAUCGCCUCAUAGUUGAUACGCCAUUUAGACUUCAUAGACUUGGAUUUAUUGAAACACCAAAUAAUAUUGCAUAUAUGACUUGGAAACCUGAAGAGGAACGUGUGCUACUUUUGUGCGGUCAAGUAGGCUUUAUAAUGGAAGCUGUGUUACCAGAUGUGUCAAUUCGUGACUAUACAGAUAUAACAACAUUCAAACUAGAUUUUGUAUCGUAUAAGGAAACGCUUGUUAAGAAACAUUAUAUGCGUAACCGACCAUUUCCAACUGAAGAAGAUUUAGCCAGUAUAGAUGAGGAAGCACUAAAAGCUAAAGAAGAAGCGGAAAGAGAAAAAGAUGAAGAUGAAGAGGAAGAGUGGCUUGGAGAGAUACAAUUGAUCGAAAGUGAAAGUAUGCUUGGGACUACGAUAACAUGGGCUGAAUAUUGCGAAGAGGGAAUCUGGGUUGUUCAGCGAGGUACCGGAGCGCUCUUCUUGAUUAAGCCAGGGCAGAAUAAAAUAUUUAAAUAUGGUCCGAUACCUGGAGCGUGGUGUGAUGAUAUCACUUCACUCAAGUUUGUGUGUGACCAUCGGUAUUUAAUCGUGGGAACUAACACUGGCUAUAUCCGCAUGGUCCGUAUGCCUACUGAAGAUGAAGACAAUCCUGAACAGCAUCACGUAAUCUGGAUGAUGGCCCAGCAAAAGUUGCUUAAGAAACUAAAAGGUCGCCGAUUAGCUAAAGAAGAGCCCCAGCCAACACCUCGUAUCGAUUUUGAUGACCGAUAUUAUUUGCCCAUGCAUGACCACUAUACGGGAGCAAUCACCGCCUUAGAAUUUAGUGGUGAUGGAAAGCGAUUUUACACUAGCGGGGAGGAUGGUAAUAUUUUUUCCUAUUUUGUGAACUUUACGGAGCCGCUUGUACCAAAACCAACUAAAGUAAAACUCAAGGAACUUCCGAAAGUAGAAAAAGCAAGAGAACCCAGUACAUUGGACGGGGAGUUAAUGUCCCAUGAAGAAUUGAAACAGAAAGAGGAGUAUGACAAGAUGAUGUCCAUAGCUAAUGCGCAUAAGAAGCGAGUACGAGACCAACUAGCUGAGCUUACAGCUGAAUACAGCAAGAUUAUUAAAGCAAACCGGGCUUUACCAUAUUCACAACAGAUCGAUGUAACUCUCGAUCCUCGACCCCUACAAGUCCAAGAGAGAGAACUGGAUCAACUCAAAGCUUUGACAAACCGAAAGCUCGCACACCAACUUGAGGCAUCUGAUCUUGGAUAUCAUAAGAUGUAUACAAGGAACAUUAUUCAGUUAGAUGUGUAUCCGUUUACGUUGAAAUGUAUAAGAGACCCGGAAGUAAUGAUAAGACCUUUACGACAAAAGAAUCUCUCGAAAACUUUUUACAACCAAUUAGAAGAAGUGCAUCAGAAAAUGGCGGAGGCCGCUUUACGUGGAAGACGAACUGAUACGACAGCCCGAAGAGCAGCCGCAAGAAAGUCUUCCUGGGGCCCGCCGCGAAUCGCAUCGUUUCUUCUUGGUCUACCCCCAAAACCAUCUCAUCCAUUGAAGAAGGCGCUACGCAAUUAUCAUCAGAGAUUGAAUAGACAUCACCUACAAUUUAUUGAGUGGCAAGAGCAUGUAUCUCGUAAACCAGACCCAAAUGCAAUGCCCCCGGGUGCUGCUGAAGCUCUUAAAGACGCUGAGGCCUCGAUUGGUAAUCGAUUACUGAAGACACAACCGGAUUAUGUAGCACCGCCUGGUCAUAAUACGCAACUCCGAGUUUGCUUUGCAAGAAAAGAGAUCUACGACACAAAACGAGCGUUUAACGAAAAAAUACUUCAACUAAGGGAGCACAAAGUAAAACUUGUAGCACGAAUGAAAGAGAUAGGCGAGCGCUUAGCAGAAAUACGGGUUGAGAUUCCACCGAAGUUGGUGAAACCUCCCCCACCAAUACCGGAAAUUGAUGACGACUUGGAGUUUCCAGAAAAAAACUUAGAGAUCAAACCCGUUGUGAUCCAACCUUCGGCAAGACAAGCGAUGGCUGCACGAAAAACAAUGGAGCGACGCAAAUCGACAUUGUAUCCUCAGCAAAGAGUUAGACAGCCACGGGUACCGCGCUUCGUACCGCUCUCUGACUCCAGGCCUCUUGCUGCAUCGUGGGAAAUUUUAAAAUUCAAACAGGAUCAAGAAUCUUUUCCCAUUGAAGCCGAAAUACGUGAGCGGCGUAUAGAAAGACAUUUAUAUGAACAAGAUAUGCUUUUGGCUGAUGCUGAAGUGUCAGUUCAACAGUUUGACUCGAGGCUAAGACAACUGCAAAGGGAACGUAUACGCGUACAGGAGAAAAACCAACUGUUAGAGUUACACCUAUAUCAGCUUCAUAGAGAAAUGAAUGUUUUAAAUCGAUUCGAGGCUCAUGAAGAUCGCUUGGCUGAAAGGGUGUAUGCAAAAUUAAUGCAGGUUCGUGGAGUACAAGAUCAAAUUCAAGAUUGCGAGCAUCGCAUCGACGAACAUCACGCUGAAAAGGAACGACUCGACGCAGCUUGCCAAGAACUACAAAGACAGUUCAAGAGGCUCGUACAAGAUAAUAAGUUUGCCGAUUUCUUGCGAAGAAUAUUUAAGAAGAAAUACCGUCCGCCGCGUGACCGAGAUGACGAUGAAUCAUCAGAGUCUGAAUCUUCAUCAUCAUCAAGCGAGGAAGAAGAUGAAGGGAGCAUGGACAGUCGAGACAUUGGUCCAAUACGACUCGAUCCUAAUAUUUGUCCUGAAGGGUGUGACGUUGAUAUUUAUAACAAAACUUAUGACUUAAGAAAUACAAGGCAUAAACAUGAGCAAGACAUCAUAGAGCAGGAUCGGUUUAUUGAGCUUUUACGUAAAGAUAUUGAUGCGCAUAAUAAAAUCAAGCGCAAAUUUUCCGUGCAGUUGGAAAAGAGGAAAAAUGAUCUUCGGGAGUUUAUGAUGGAAAAACAAAGUUGUAUGAAUGAAGUUGAUCAAGUUGUUGUGUUACGGUAUGAUCAAAUCAGGGCUUCGGCGAUUCGUGGAUGUACUGGACCUCAAGGGUUAUCACAAACUGUUGUCUUCCCUGAAAAGAUGUUGGCUAAGUUGCGCAAUCGCGUCCUGGAGUUGCACGACGAAAUCAAACAGCAGAAACAGAGACAAAAGGUUAACCGCACACAUCUGUUCCGAAUGAAUAUUGAUUUACGUGAAAUGGAGGCAAAGGCUGAGGAAUUGAGAGCGAAAAUGCGUGACAUUCUUACACGGAAGCUCGGGAAGCCACGUAAAGUCGACCGUACACUGGACGAUUUAUUACGACAAAUGGCGCGCAGACAUAAAUUCUCUACCACUUUGGGUACUCUGCAACAGAUAUUAAAACAGCUACGUAGUUGGAGGGAACGCCACGGAGAGCUGGAGAAGAAGUACCUCUCUACUCUGGAUGGUUAUUCGGAGCGUUUGCGUCUUGCGGCAGCGUUGCAGGCUGAUGUUUUGCCGCAAAAGCCCAAAAAAGAUCCCUCGGUAAUGGUAGGAGGCUACGAGCAAGAGCAAUACCAGCGCGAUGUCGUACGCCUACGUAUCGUGCGCUCACAACAGACUCAUCAAAUUAAGUCUCUACGUGAAGAAAUACAGAGUCUUCGUCUUAAACCUUUGUCAUACCGACCACCGAUGCAACAAGUGACUCCGCCUGAGUCCGACCGCUCACAAAUCUACCUCUUCCAAGUCCCGCACACUUCUCGGAUGGUGCGGAAAAAAUAUUUCCCAAUAACACCUCUUGGAUCCGUUCACCUGGUAUAUGAUGUCAACGUUAUGAAACUAUUAUAUGACUGCUUGGAUUCGAUGAGGGUUACCCGUGAUGAUGCUGAUGAAUUGCUUCGUGAGCUCACUGCUGAACUGCCAGAUGUUAUUUCUGGAGCAAAAUCUCGAUUUGAAGUUGUGGACAUGUUAGUGCGCAAAUGGCUGUUGAAAUAUGGCGGUGAUCCGAGUAUGUACAAGAAACAAACGCGGGCCUUCGAUGCUCUAGCUGCAUUGGCUGAUCGUCUCAUACGGCAACACGUCGAGGCAAUGGAAGGAACAAAUGAGCAAUCGCACAAAAUCAUGGAAUCCUUGGAACAGGCUCUCAAAGAUGUUUCCGGGUUAAGGAAGCAUCUGAAUGAGCGUCUCGGGCCGGCCAUAGCUGCGUUGCUGCAUACUUCUGAAUUUGCUGAUAUAGUUACUGACGAAACAAUGACGUCAUUGGUAAACUCUUUGGUCGAUGAAGAAAACCCCAUAUCAGCUCAAUCUUUGGAGAAUAUCGACAUGUUUAGUGUGAUCGAAGAUAUCAAAGUAGCUGAGUUUUGUUCCGUCCUCCGCCCCUGGAUGCAGCUCAUUUCUUGCUAGUGUGCGCUAGUCACUUGCAUGUGGUGAUUCGUAACGCCGUGUACCAUCGAGCGACGUUUUGCUGAUCUCGCGUGUGUCGACAUGGAUCGGGAUCGAAGUGAUGAACGCAUUUUGGGGUGGUUGAUGUUGAAGAUGAUUCGGAAAAAUACAGCCACAUAUGAAAGAAGAAUCACCUUGCAAAACAUUUUAUAUCCGCAAGCAUCAAGGGGUACAGCAAGGGAUAACAUGUUUUGUACCAGAAUCUGAGUUACCAGGAGAAGAAAAAUCAAAUUGAAUCUGCGCGGAUUGCCUUAAACGCAAAAAGCAAAAUUUACUGCCAAAUAAUUUUAUGUACUAAGCAUAGUCGUGCAUUAUGUGAUAUGUGUAAAGCUCGCAUACUUGAUGAAUAUUAUUUAUUGCUACUUUUUCA